GGUGACACAUUGUCAGUGAAAAGUGCAGCCAGCUCUGUGCGCUUUUGGAAAAGUAAAAACUCCCCAAUAGAUUUGCGUAGUUCCCCGUGAAAGCCGUCGCCCCUCAGAAUGGUCCAGUAGCCCAGUGUGUUCUUCUCCCUCAGCAGCACAGAGAUUAGAGAACAGACGCCUUUGCAAAGCACUCUUCUUGACUAUAUUUACAAGCUUUCACACGAGCUAUAUGUUCAGCAGUGUGUGAUCGGGGGAAGCACUGAACCCAGUGUGGUUUUCUCCCCCACAAAGUGGCACCUUACAGCCAGGUAGGCAUCCAUACUGAUGGAUGUCCACAUGUCAGAAGUAAGGCUAACAGCAGCCACCUUUUCCACUUUAGCCUUCUCCUUAGCUGACUCCUACUCAGCCUCCACCACGGCCUGCAGAGCCUAAAGGAAAACACAUCUAGUGCUGAACUGUGAGACAAUGAAGUACUCGUGUGUUUCAUGCACCCACACAUACCUGCCUUGUAGGGAGAACAUGAUGAGGAUCCAGUUUGGACACAAAUGCCCUGAAUCAUCCACAAUACUGAAGGGCUGCGUGUCCUUCGCUGUCAUGGAGACGAGGCUUCAUCCAGCUCUUGUUUUAAAAGAGAAUGAAUACAGUGUCUGUUACCUGUCUUUAUUUGCACAAUGAACAACAGUGAAUAAUUGUGUUGGUGCCUUUGUAAUGUUGUAAUGACUUACCUUGGCUGGGUGAAGCUCCAGUUUCCUCCUUAUUCUCAUGCAAGGCACGGUGAGGCCUCAGCAUGGAGGAGGUGCUGUUAUUGCACCCAAACUCCUCGGAGCACAAUAAACACCUCACCUUUGAAUCAAAUAAGAAACUGAAAAAUACAGUUCUUGAUAAGCAAACCUAAUGUGUCUGAAAUAGAGUGAGAUUCAGCUCACCUUAUUAGGAGUGAUCUAGUCACAGAGGAAGUCCUCCUCUUCCUAGCUGGCUCCAUCUUAUCACCUGUCCUUCUCUCCUCACUCUCAACUAUCUCUCUCUAAACUCUCCAAACGAUAUAAACUAUCCGAACCAUCCAAACUCUAACUGACCAACUCUCCACCAACAGCCCACAUCUUGAAUGGAGCCUGAGGGGUUUAUACAUGGAAGUAAAUCUGAAGCGCUUCCCGAAGCGUCACGUGGUCCCGCCGGGCAGCGAGGCUUCGGACGCCAUCAUUUAUGG
ensembl:lncRNA